UGCAAGUCGCACGAGAAAGUGGAGCAAUCCAUGAGUAAAGUGGCGUACGGGUGAGUAACACGUGGAUCAUCUACCUCUUGGUGGGGAAUAACCCUGGGAAACCGGGGCUAAUACCGCAUAAGCCUGCGAAGGGAAAGCAGCAAUGCGCCGAGAGAGGAGUCCGCGGCCGAUUAGCUAGUUGGUAGGGUAAUAGCCUACCAAGGCAAUGAUCGGUAGCCGGCCUGAGAGGGCACACGGCCACACUGGCACUGAAACACGGGCCAGACUCCUACGGGAGGCAGCAGUGGGGAAUCUUGCACAAUGGAGGAAACUCUGAUGCAGCGACGCCGCGUGAGCGAUGAAGCCCUUCGGGGUGUAAAGCUCUUUCGGCAGGAACGAUAAUGACGGUACCUGAAGAAGAAGCUGCGGCUAACUACGUGCCAGCAGCCGCGGUAAUACGUAGGCAGCAAGCGUUGUUCGGAGUUACUGGGCGUAAAGAGUGUGUAGGCGGUUCUCUAAGUUCCGUGUGAAAUCUCCCGGCUCAACUGGGAGGGUGCGCGGGAAACUGGAGGGCUCGAGUAUGGGAGAGGAAAGCGGAAUUCCUGGUGUAGCGGUGAAAUGCGUAGAUAUCAGGAGGAACACCUGCGGUGU
rnacentral:rRNA from 1 species